AUGUGAGAAUUUUUUUUUUUUUUGGGAAAAUAUUCUAUAAUUUUGUCACGAAUAUGAGAGUCAAAUCUGAUUCAAAGUUGGAAAAUAACGAUUUGUUAUUUUCAUUUAAUAAAUAGCUUUCGUUAUAUUCUAGCACAUUGAAUUUUACAUACUACAUACCAACAAUGUUGCCUAAACUAUCUUGGAGAUACAUUGAGAAAUAAGGAGAUAUAUUGAUAUAUAUAGUUGCAUGCCAUUAUUCGUGAAGACACUUCUUUUCUUCGUUUGCCAUACACUAACACAUUGAACUUUACAUACUAUGAUACCAAUAAUAUUGCCUAAACUAUCGUUGGAGUUACAUGGAGAAAUAUGGAGAUAUACAUAUAUAGAUUGAGGACGACGGUACCACGCCCUCUGAUUGAAGGACGCGCAGUUUGCGUCGCAUAACGCUGCAUGCCAAAACAGAAAGAAAAUACAUCGAUGGACUGAAAAUAGGUUUCUGCCCAUCAACAGAGAUUAGGCACCGAAUUUUGCAAAUAUCCCAAACGGAAACUAUUGAAAAAUGUUGUCAAUUCAGUCCAGCCUGCCUACACCAUUGAAUAUUAUGUCGUUAUAUAUAAAUGCUGCUUGUAUCCAAUA
rnacentral:sRNA from 13 species